UUAAACAAAAUAACUUAAUUAAUAUCUUUUGAGUAAAGGAUAUGUGAAUAAUGCGAUAUGUCCAUGCGUUUUUAUAAAGAAAUCGUCAUAUGGCUUUGUGAUCAUGCUGUAUAUGUAGAUGACCUGAACAUAAUUGAAACUCAAAAGGAGGUUGAUGAUGCUCAAACUCAUAUGAAAGAACAGUUCAAAAUGAAAGAUCUCGGCAAGACAAAAUGUUGUAUUGGGCUCCAGAUUGAGCAUCUCCGAGAAGGAAUAUUUGUGUGUCAAACAAUCUAUACGAAAAGUUUAUUGAAACGCUUUCGUAUGGACAAAGCGACUCCUUUGAGUACUCUAAUGAUUGGUAGAUCUCUCAAUGUUGAGAGUGAUCCUUUUAGGCCCUGCGAAGAUAGCAAGAAGAUAUUAGGUCUAGAAGUACCUUAUAUGAGUGCUAUCAGUGGGCUGUUAUAUCUUGCAAACUGUACCAGACCAGAUAUAGCUUUUGCUACUAAUCUACCAGCGAGAUAUAGUUCUGCUGCUACUCGCAGGCAUUGGGACAGAAUAAAGCACUUAUUCCGUUACCUUUAAGGUACAUUUGAUUUAGGGUUAAUGUAUUUUCGAAAAUCCAAGUUUGGUAGGGUUGGUUUUGCAGAUGCAGGAUACUUAUAGGAUCCUCAUAAGGCUCGAUCGCAAACCGGCUAUGUUUUCGAUCUCUUGAAGGUCCCAGAAAUAAACUCUGGUUGCGAUAUCUUCGAAUCAUGCUGAAACUAUUGCGUUUCACGAAGCAAGUCGAGAAUGUGUGUGGCUUCGGUCAUUGAGUCACCACAUACAAGAAUCAAGCAGAAUAGUCAACGAGAAAGAGCCGACAAAACUUUUUGAGGAUAAUUCGGCUUGUGUUGCUCAACUCAAGGAAGGCUACAUUAAGAGCGACAAAACAAAGCACAUCCCUCCAAGAUUUUUCUCGUACAUAAGGGAGCUCGAGAAAAAUAAAGUAGUGGACAUCGAGUAUGUACGGUCAUGCGAAAAUCCGGCUGACUUAUUCACCAAAGCUCUUCCGACUACAACAUUCCGAAAACAUGUCUACGAUAUCGGAAUGCAGCAUUUGCGUGACUUGUGAAGAAAAAGCUAUGUCCAUUAUUUUAAGGGGGAUAUUACGGCAGUGUACUCUUUUUUCCUUGUCAUGGUUUUUGUCCCAAUGGAUUUUUCCAUGACCAGGUUUUUAAUGAGGCACUACGUAAUACAAGAUGGCAAAUCAAGGGGGAGUGUUAAAGAUAAUGAUUCUCCAUCUAUCUACACGUAUUGGGCACUUGUCCUUAUACAAAGUGACUUGUGCAUCAUCAUCCUCCAGAUGUCAUCCUUAUAUUUUUGUCCUUUUCUUUAUUGGUUUGCUAUAAAUAGCACUUCCUCCUUUUGGGUUUGUAACGUGAAACAAUAAGAAAAAAUUAAUCAUCAAAUCACAACUUCCUCUCUCCUUUUACGUUUCCAGAUAACACAAGAAAAAUAAUAAAAAGCUCACCUUUAUUCUCUUUCUUGCGACACACACACAUAAUUAUUAUAUCAUCUCUCUCACUUACGUUCACCUUCUUUCUCCUUUUUAUUAUAUACAAAGAAAAUAUAUAUAAAUACAAAACCCUUUCACUUAUAUUAUACAACACGUUAUCAGCACGAAGAUCUGACCAACUGAACACGAGCUCUCAUAUACCGGUGAAGUCUAUCAAUCCGGAAGCUCUAACCAACUGAAACUUAUCAAUCCAGAAAGUUCUUAAACCAACCGAGGAUGAUAGGCGAUGUCUUCCCCGACUGAUCCUUAUGGUAGGCUAUGCCUUCACGAUCAAAGAAACACGUGGUAGGCUUUGCUUCUGUUAAAUAAAAGAAAAGGUCAAAAAUGGUAGACUAAGUCUCCUUGGACCUUGAAUAAAUAAAAGUCAAAAUGGUAGACCAUGUCUCCUCGGACUUUGAAAAAUGAUCAAUAUGGUAGUCUAUGACUCCUUGGAUUAUGUAGUAGGCUGAGCCUCUUGAUUUUAUUUAUGCUAUUUAAAUUCCUGCAAUUUAAAUUUCUGCAAUUUUAGUUUUUUCUUUUAUUUUAUGCCUUCAAUUAUUGCAUUUAAAUUAUGCAUAUAAAUUCUCUUGUUUACUAUAUUUAUAUUAUUAUUCUAUGAAUACAGUUAUCAUGUCGAAUUUGACAAAGCUCGAAAUUAAUGCCUUGGAUAUUACGGGAAAUAAUUAUAUGACCUGGGCAGUGGGUGCAAAGAUGCACCUGAGAGGAAACCGACUUUUGGAAACCAUCGAUAGUUCAAAAACGGUGUCGUAUUUGCAUGCGGCUGCACUGGUUCGUUUAAGACCGAAUGCAUAUCAUAAGUACUCCCCAUUACAAUUGACAUCUGGGCAAGAGCCAGAUUAUCCCAUCUCCGUGUCUUUGGGUGUGUGGUCUAUGUUCUGAUAGCUCCGCCACAAAAAAAAAAAAUGGGCCCACAAAAGAGAUUGGGAAUAUAUGUGGGUUAUACGUCCCCAAGUAUAAUAAGAUAUUUGGAACCACUAACUGCUGAUAUGUUUAUGGCACGAUUUUCCGAUUGCCAUUUUAAUGAGGAUGAAUUUCCAGCGUUAGGGGGAGGAAUUGGUAAAAUUUCUUAACAGAUUACAUGGCGUACACCGUCAUUGUUACACAUUGAUCCCCCUACGAAUCAAAGAGAACUGGAAAUUCAGAAAAUUGUGCAUUUGCAUACUUUGGCAAACCACUUACCAGAUGCGUUCACAGAUACAAGAAGGGUGACGAAGUCAUGUAUACCCGCUGAAAAUGUUCCAUCAAGAGUUGAUGUUCGUAAAGAACAAACUGCUGGAAACAAAAUGAAUGAACCUCGGGUUCAGUUAAAGAGGGGGAGGCCAGCGGGUUCUAAAGAUAAGAAUCCCCGAAAGAAAAAAAAAUUGGAUGAGCAAAUAGUAAAGUUCAAGAAGAACCGGAUAUUAAAAGAUGUCUUAAAGAAGACAUAAAUGGAAAGGUUCCAGAAGAACCUGAUACUGAAAAAUGUCUGAAAGAAGGCAUAGAUAAAGAUGGUCCAGAUGGCGAGAAGGGAACAUAAAAGUAUGAUAUUUCCAUCAAUUAUGCCCGAGAUGAAAAGAUAUGGAUCGGAAAUAAGAUAAAAUAUGUUGAUGGAAUGUUCUCUUUUUUUGUGUCCAAAGAGAUUGAUCAUGAAAAUGAUGAUCCCGUUCCAAGGUCCAUUUUAGAAUGUCAUAAAAGACAUGAUUGGGAGGAGUGGAAGAAGGCCAUUCAAAUUGAAUUAGUCUCCCUGAAUAAAAGAAAUGUCUUUGGACCUAUAGUCGUAACGCCUAAGAAUAUAAAUCUCGUUGGGUUUAAGUGGGUAUUUGUGAGAAAAGUAAAUGAGAAAAAUGAAGUAACACGAUAUAAAGCCCGAUUAGUUGCCCAUGGUUUUUCUCAAAGACCGGGAAUUGAUUUUGAGGAUACGUAUUCCUCGGUAAUGGAUGCAGUUACAUUUAGAUUUUUGAUGAGAAGAUAUUAGGUCCAGAAAUACCUUAUAUUAGUGCUAUCAGUGGGCUGUUAUAUCUUGCAAACUGUACCAGACAAGAUAUAGCUUUUGCUACUAAUCUACUGGCGAGAUAUAGUUCUGCUCCUACUCGCAUGCAUUGGGAUGGAAUAAAGCAUUUAUUCCGUUACCUUCAAGGUAUAGUUGAUUUAGGGUUAAUGUAUUUUAGAAAACCCGAGUUUGGUGUGGUUGGUUUUGCAGAUGCAGGAUACUAUUCAGAUCCUCAUAAGGCUCGAUCAAAAACCGGCUAUGUUUUUACAAUUGGUAGAACCGCGAUCUCUUGGCGGUCCCAAAAAAAAACGCUGGUUGCGACAUCUUUGAAUCAUGCUGAAACUAUUGCGCUUCACGAAGCAUGUCGAGAAUGUGUGUAGCUUCGGUCAAUGAGUCACCACAUACAAGAAUCAAGCAGAAUAGUAAACAAGAAAGAGCCGACGAAUUUUUUUGAAGAUAAUUCGGCUUGUGUUGCUCAACUCAAGGAAGGCUACAUUAAGAGCGACAGAACAAAGCACAUCCCUCCAAGAUUUUUCUCGUACAUAAGGGAGCUCGAGAAAAAUAAAGAAGAAUACAUAAGGGACAUCGAGUAUGUACGAUCAUGCGAAAAUCCGGCUAACUUGUUCACCAAAGCUCUUCCGACUACAACAUUCCGAAAAUAUGUCUACGGUAUCCGAAUGCGGAAUUUGCGUGACUUGUGAAGAAAAAGAUAUGUCCAUUAUUUUCAGGGGAAGAGAACGGCAGUGUAUUCUUUUUCCGUUGUCAUGGUUUUUGUCCCAAUGGGUUUUUCUAUUACCAGGUUUUUAACGAGGCACUACGUAAUAAAAGAUGGAAAAUCAAGGGGGAGUGUUAAUGAUUAUGAUUCUCCAUAUUUCUACAUGUAUUGGACACUUGUCCUUACACAAAGUGACUUUUGCAUAUGUCAUCUUUAUAUUUUUAUCCUUUUCUUUAUUGGUUUGCUAUAAAUAACACCUCUCCUUUUGGGUUUGUAACGUGAAACAAUAAUAAUAAAUUAACCAUCAAAUCAGUCAUAUCUCUCUCUCUCUCUCACGACCUAUCUCACUUUUCCUUUGUUUCUUUUAAAUCAUUAUACAAACAAUAAAAUAUACAGAAAAUCUCCCUCAGUUAUAUUAUUCACAACAUGUUGGAUAAUAAUAGGUGAGUGUUUAUAUAUCAGAGAAUUUUUUAUUGUUUUUAUAUAUAUAUUGUUUAUAUAUAUAUAUAUAUAUUAUAUAUAUAUAUAUAUAUGAUUUUUUGUUUGUGAGAUAACGUAAAGAGAGAAAUUAUGAGAGGGUAUAUGAGAUUAUUAUUAUUGAGUUUUGAUACAACUUCUAUUUAUAGGAGUAGAGAUGGUCAAUUAAUAACCAGAUAUUUCUACAACAAUUAUAUAAAAUGGCGAGAUAUUUAGUGUCUAUAAAAAUAAAAAACCUUAAUGGAUAAUCACUAUAUAUUUGAUAUUACCUUCAAUAUUCCCCCUUGAUUAUCCAUUGUGUAUUACACAAUGCCUCGUUAAAAACCUAGUCAUGGAAAACUUCAUUGGGAUACAAACAAUGACAAGGGAAAAAUAAUACACUGCCGUAAUCUUCCCUUGAGAAUAGUGGACCUAGCUCUCUCGUCACAUGUCACGCAAAUGCCGCAUUUCGAUACCAUAGACGUGUUUUCGAAAUGUUGUAGUGGGAAGAGCCUUUGUGAGCAAGUCAGCCGGAUUGUCGCAUGACCGUACAUACUUGAUAUCCACCUCUUUAUUUUUCUCGAGCUCCUUUAUGUACGAGAAAAAUCUUGGAGGGAUGUGUUUUUUUUCUGUCACUCUUAAUGUAGUCUUCUUUGAGUUGAGCGACACAAGCCGAAUUAUCUUCAAAUAUUUUCGUCGGCUCAUUCUCGUUAACUAUUCCGCUUGAUUCUUGUAUGUGAUGACUCAUUGACCGAAGCCACACACAUUCUCGACAUGCUUCGGAAAGCGCAAUAGUUUAUGUAUGAUUCAAAAAUGUCGCAACCAGAGUUUGUUUCUGGGACCGCCAAGAGAUCGCGGUUCCACCAAUUAUAAAACCAUAUCCGACUUGUCUUCGACUCUAUAAAUAUCAUGUAUCUGCAAAACCAUACCAAACUCGGGGUUUCUAGGAUAAAUAAAUCCUAAAUCAAUACGUACCUUGGAGAACAAAUAUGUUCUCGACGCCGUUCUAAUUUCCAUAAAUAGGAAAUGAGCUAUAUCUCGCAAAGACAUUAGUGUAUAAAAGUAUAUUUAAUCAAACACAACUUGCAAGAUAUAUAUAUAUAUAUAUAUAUAAGCUCAUAUAUGUUUUAUUAUCAUUAGCAUCUCCAAAGUACUUAUUUAUAUAAGAUCUUACCAGGAUAUUUAAACAUCUCUUUCAACAUCGAGAGAUCUAUUUACCAUUGGAGUACUCAAAGGAGUCGAUUUAUUCAUACAAAAGUGUUUCAAUAACCUUUUCGUAUGAUUUAAUUGAUGCACAAAUGCUCCACAUCAAUCCCCAUUGACAUACAAUAAUCAUCAAAUGCUUGCGAUGUAAAUUCACCAGCAUUAUCAAGCCUUACUUUCUUAAUGGCAUACUCUGAGAACUGCGUUUUCAGCUUUAUAAUCUGGGCGAUGAACUUUGCGAAAGCCAUAUUUCGUGUCGUCAAAAGAGACACACUUGACCAUCCACUAGAUGCGUCAAUCAAUACCAUGAAAUACUUAAACGGCCCGCACGGUGGGUGGAUCGGCCCAGGAUGUCCUAGCCUCUCAUGUCAGAUUAUAAAUGUAUCAGUAAACUUCAUGUUUACCACGACAUAGGACUCAGUCAUGGUUAUUUUCGUACAAUAUAGUCCAGAGGAUAACAUUCUUAACUCUCCAAAGUACUUAUUUAUAUAAGAUCUUACCAAGAUCUUGUAAAAUAACAUCUCUUUUAACAUCGAGAGAUCUAUUUACUAUUGGAGUACUCAAAGGAGUUGCUUUAUUCAUACAAAAGCGUUUCAAUAACCUUUUUGUAUAGUUUGAUUGAUGCACAAAUAUUUCUUCUCGGAAAUGCUCUAUCUAGAGCCCUAGACAAAACUUUGUCUUGUCGAGAUCUUUUAUUUCAAACUCCUCUUUCAUAUGAGUUCAAGCAUCAUCAACCUCCUUUUGAGUUCCAAUUAUGUUCAGGUCAUCUACAUAUACAUCAAUGAUCACAAAGCCAUAUGACGAUUUCUUUAUAAAAACGCAUGGACAUAUCGCAUUAUUCACAUAUCUUUUACUCAAAAGAUAUACACUUAAGCGAUUGUACCACAUGCGUCCGGAUUGCUUUAAUCUGCAAAGUGAUCGUUGUAACUUGACCAAACAAAUCUCCCUGGAUUUUUCUUUUAAUGCCCUUGGAAUUUUCAAUCCCUCAGGGAGUUUCAUAUAAAUAUCGUCAUCCAACGAUCCAUACAAAUAGGUAGUCACAACGUUCAUGAGAUGCAUUUCAAUAUUUUUAGAUGCCGUUAGGCACAUAAAAAAUCUAAACGUAAUUGCAUCCAUUACCGAAAAAUAUGUUUCCUCAAAAUCAAUUCUCGGUCUUUGAGAAAAACCUUGGGCAACUAAUUAGGUUUUAUAUCGUGUUACUUUUCUCACGAAUACCCACUUGUACCCAACAAGAUUUAUAUACUCAGACGUUAUAACUAUAGGACCAAAGACGUUCUUUUUAUUUAGGGAGAAUUAUUCAAUUCGAAUGGCCUUCUGCCACUCCUCCCAAUCAUGUCUUUUAACAUUCCAAAAUGGACCUUGGAUCAGGAUCAUCAUUUUCAUGAUCGACAGAAAAGGAGAACAUUCCAUCAACAUCUUUUAUCUUAUUUCAGAUUCAUAAUUUUCGUAGUUGAUGGAAAUCUCAUACUUUUUUUUUCCUUUUCGUCAUCUGGAUCAUCUUUAUUUAUGCCUUCUUUCAAACAUUUUUCAGUAUCAGGUUCUUCUGGAACCUUUCCAUUUAUGUCUUCUUUCAGACAUCUUUCAAUAUCUCUUUUGGAACCUUACUAAUUUGCUCAUUCAAUUUAUUUUUCUUUCGAGGAUUUUUAUCUUUAGAAUCCGCUAGUCCCCCCCUCUUUAACUGACCCUAGGUUCAUUUAUUUUGUUACCAUCAGUUUUUUCUUUAGGAACAUCAACUCUUGAUGGAACAUUUCCAGAAGGUAUAUCAUGUCGUAUCUGUGAAUACAUUUGGUAACUGGUUUGCCAAAUUAUGAAAAUGCACAAUUUCCUGAACUUCCAGCUCUCUUUGAUUUGUAGGGGGACCAAAGUGUAACAACGAAUGUGUAUACCAUGUAAUUUAUUUAGGAAUUUCUCAAAUUCCUCCCCCUAACGCAGGAAUUUAUUCUCAUUAAAAUGGCAAUCGAAAAAUCAUGCCAUAAACAUAUCACCAGUUACUGGUUCAAGAUACCUUAUAUACAGCUUGCUCUAAAUCUUCUAGAGUUUUAUACAUUCUCGAGAGCAUCUUUAACUCUCAAGGGACUCCUAAAUAUCAGGAUGCAACUUAAGUCGUAUUUGUCCUGCUAGACAUAUUAAUAUAUUGCAUCUAUUUUAAAUUUUCUCCAGUGACCUUGGAACAGGCCAUUUUUAAUACCUCAAGGUCAUCUUUCACUUCAUUCUCUGGAGAAAUAUAUACCUUGGACUUUUGGUCCAAAAAUCUCUCAUUUUUCUCAACGAGCUUAAUAUCGAAUUGAUAACCAAUCAGUUCACUGUACCCUCAUACAUAAAGGUAGAUUCAUAAUCCUUAUUUAUAUAGCGCUUUUUCAUUUUAUUGUCGACAAUCUAUUUUCUCUUUGGUUCCAUCUUUUUAUCCGUACUGAUAUGGUUAAUCGAGAUCUCUUUAUCAUCAUCAAUGAUUUACCUAGGUACCUGACUGUACUAUUAACCAUAUCAGCGGUCUCAUCAUGAGAUUCAUCAUCUAUUCAUAUUUUUGCUCCUUUUCGAGGACUCUUUGGAACCAAAGUUGUCUAUCACGUCUCCAGCGUGUUAUAGACUCAUAUAUCAUCUUUUUAGGACACAAUUUCGUAUUGGAGCAUUUUCAGUUGGAUUUCAUCAAAAUGUCGAGCAGGCAUUUUGUAAAUGGAUUAUUAUACUUUUCAUUGUAAUCAAUUUCACAUAUCUCGUUCCAUCAGCUUAUUAUAUGCUUCUAGCAAACUUGCGAGAAUAUUUCUAAGUAUCCAUAUACUUUAUCCUUCUGGAUUGUAUAUGUCUUUAUUAACACCCGAUCAUGGGAAUCAUCUUACUUGAAUUUACUUUAUCAAGUUCUUUUUCAAGUGCGAACAUAAUUUCUCAAUGUCCCACUCACUAGGAUUCUUUAAUUCUCCGCCUCGAGAUGAUGACACUCCAUGUCUAAAAUCUUGUACUGAAUCCCACUCUAGAACCAAUAACAUAUUCAGUUUUCCCAAUUUGGAUGAAUUAUGUUUCAAAUCCUUUAGAGUGAUAUCUUAAUUUGGGGUCUGCUUAAAGAAAUCACAUAUUGUGAACUUGUUUGAUGAUUCAUCACCCAUGAUGGUUUUCUUUAUUUUCUUGACAUGCAAUAUGUGAAAAACUUAUGGUUUUUCAUAAUUUCAGAAUAAUGUCGAGAAAAUUAUUUGGAGAUGGCUAUAUAUCAGUAAACUUCAGGUUUACCACUCAAUUAUAAUUUUGCCAUAUUUUUCUUAUGCAUGGCUUUUCAUCAUAAGCUCCUCUAGAGCCAAUAAUAUGUUUAUAUUACUAAUUACUAUACUUAUUUAUUUUGAGAGAAGAGAGAUAUUUGUUACCUUUAGUAGUCAUGUACGAUGACUCAAUAUUUGCCACGUAUAUCUACUCCAUCCUGAAUCUUCAAAAUCUUAUUCAGGAAGAUAAUUUGCCAUGUAUAUCUACCACUCGAUCUUUUCAUUUUCAUUUUCCGGACCAACCAGAAAAUCUAAAUCCACAAGAUGAGAAUUCAAGCUAUGAAAGAUGGUUCGGGCUAUAAGAGAUGAAGUUUAAAAUACUUCAUUUCUCUUUUUCUUUUUGGAAUACGACAAAUACGUACCCAAAAUUCUUUCUUGCCGGAUCUGUAGCAAACCUUUUCUGUUUGCCUUUUAUCACCCGAUCACUUUCAUUUUUGUGGAAGUUAUAAUCAUUUUAUAGGGACGGAAUCUUCUUCAUCGUCCUCUUCCACGAUUAUGAUAGCGGUUUCAACCGCAUAUACACCUAUUUAAGGUGAGUUUGGUCUCGGGUGAAGUAAACAAUACUAAAAAUGGGUCGAACAGAGGUGUUUAUUAGAUUUCGAGAUGAUGUUACAAAGGUGGAGAAAGUAAAAGCAAGCCGGAGCUCGUGAGAGCUUAAACCGGAAAAGUACAAAUAGCAGAGAGAUGAUUGUACGGAUGAUAAACCCUAAUCUCGCCGCUAAGUUUGUGUAGCUAAGUGUCGAUACCUUUCUCCUUUGCUUUCCUCUCCUUUUAUACUCUGUUCGAUUACCUUAACCUAAUCUCUUUUUACUGAUUGGGCUUUGUCGGCCCUUCGGGCCUGAUUAUGAGAUGCUCGCUCUGAGACGUUUAGUCGAUCAACCUCGCUUCGCUUGCUCUCCGUUUCGACUAACGGCGCUUCCUGGUUAAGUUGAAGCCUCGAGAAUCGGCUUCUGCGCCGACGUCGACUCGGUUUGCUGGACUGGGCCCUUUGUUCGAUGGGCUUUGUGGAUGGGUUAAAUCCAUCCCCAACAGUAAGUCCCCCCCUGUUUAUUGAUGGUCGAGCAAUCGAUCUUCGAUGAAUUUGGUGUCUGUAGUUCGGAGAACAAAAGGUUCAAUCCGAGCAAGUGACUGAUCGUUGAGGAGUCAAUCCGUUCAAUCGAUACUUCUCGAUCGAGAGAAUGGAUUGACGCGUCCGUUUCUCACGCGUUGCGAUCGUGAGAUAAACGCUUACGGGUCGAGAAGACGGACCGGCGCAUCUGUCGAUCACGCGCCUGAUUGGGUUUAGGCCCACUUAGGCCUUAUUAGGCGUAAUGAUGACGCCUUGAUCUCCGCGCUUAUCUCUCCCUAUAAAUAGCUCCCCCCCUCUCCACUUCUUUUCAUUUUUCUCCGCAGCGCUAAAGGUACUUUCUCUCUCUACGCUCCUUCUCUCUCUUUAUCUCUGUUUUUAGAUCUGCGAUUAUCCGAGAUGUCGUCAUCUCAUCGUUUGACGCGAGAACAAAAGGGAAAGGGGGCGGUAUCUUCUCGGGAUUCUGACGGUAUCCAUCACGAAGCGAUGAUGGAUAUGGGAAAUACGGACUUAUCGCAGCGUCUCUUGGUCUCGGAAGCGAGAGAACAGUUCCGGGGUGAUGACGACGGUCAAGAAGCGGUCGACAUCUCGAUUGUUCCGAUCAGCUAUUAUCCCGGGAACAUCUUCGCCGAGGAGAGCCCACUGGAGGUUUGGAGAAUUCGACCUUCGGUCGUCGACGGACAAGAUUGGUCCAACGUCGAGAGGACGAAGUCCACCGUGGAGUCGGUGGAGGCUAUCCUCCGAGAUCUCAAUGCACACGGGGUCUCGUUCAUCAUUCCAAAGCGGGAUCAGAGGCCUUGGUCGCCUCCGAAGGGGUAUCAGUGCAUUUACGAGUCAUAUUUCAGGAACGACACGAAGUUAUGGUUCCCAAUUCCCCGAAUCGUCACGGCUUAUGCUUUCCGCAGAGGAG